GUAAAUCUGGGCGGAUUCGUCGGUUGUGGGAAUUUCGAGGUUGGUACGGUUUAUGCCGCGACCGGAGCACUGCUGCAGCGCCAGCUUUUGUCGUUAUAAAACGUUCUGGCGCCGAGUGGCUGACCGUUUGGUGGGGAAUUUCGACAUUCUGGCUUGUGAUAUUCUCCCCCAAAAAAGCAAAUGGAGAAGUAAGGAUCCCAGAAUAGAUGGACUUUCUUCUCUGGGAUUGCCUUUUGUCUUGCUUUGUUCAGCUCUGAAUCGGCUGCGGGGCUGUUGGUGCAGUGUAUCUCUUUGUUAGAAAUCUCCACUAGAUUUCGUUAAGAGUGUAAACGACUAGCAGCCCUGCUUCUUUCCAGGGGCUAACGUUUAACAAUAAAUUGGGCAGAUCUGGGGUGCCUUUGCGCUGGGGGUAUUUUUGCUGUGUAAUUCAUAGCGUCAUUGUCUUAAUAAAACGUGUCGAUGUUCGGGAGUACUGCCUUAAAUGAUGAAAUGUGAUGUAAGAGCAUGGCUAUGUGAAGUACUGAGCAUCCCGCUGACGCCAGUGGGACUGAAUUGGCAGAAAAUGUCGGCUUUGCUAGAUCGAAUCUGCUAUAAAUGCAAACGCAAUUAAAAAUGUAUGGUGCUGCAUGUUAAGCAUUAAUCUUCCGUUUCAGGUAUUGUUAAUAUUCUGCGGCAUCAUCCCACUUCCAGCUCGUGAAACUGUAUAAAAAUGUUAAAUUUUUUGCUAGAAUUACAAUGUUACUGUUAAAGGAGCAUUCCUUAGAGCUGCGGUACCCGAAUCGGUGUUCCUUGGUGUCACAUGGAAUGUAAAGCAGAUGGCGAUGACGCUGGAGGCGAUCUACCCGGCGAGGAUGCGGCCAGGAGCGAUGGUUGGCACCGGCAUGAGUCUGGGCUUGGAGCAGUGCUGAGAGGGCUUGGGGAGAGGAUUGUAGUGGAGCUCCAUCCCCAUUCCACUCCUAGCAGCUCUCUGGCCAUCCACCUCCGUUUCUGCCGGCUGGAAUGGACAAGAGCCUUGCCAACCACCCCGGGGCUUCCGCUGAGCUCAUUUAGGGAGAGGCAGGUGUGGCUGAGCUAGGAAAAAAACCGGAGCAGAGCUGAGAGGACUGCAAUACCAGUGCUGCUCCUGUUCUCCUUCCUGCUCUAGCCACCCCGUUCGGACUGCAUCCCCUUCACUGCUUCCUCCCGUUCCUGCCUGCGCGUCCUCUCUAAAUCAGGAUGAGUUUUGGAGGGCCGGGACGGAGGAAGCUGUGGGAGGGGAUAUGAAGCAUUUUAUGGGGAAAUGUGGAGAUUUUUUUUUUUUUUUUAAACAAUGGCUAAGUCGAAACAAAUGUGUGCAUUUAAAUGUUGAAAUCCAAUACUUAAUACAGUGAACCUUCUGGCAAGAACAAAAAUACACCAGCAGAGAUGGGAUUGCAUGAUCAUGGGCUUGAAUUUGUACUGUAUCUUUCUGGAAAACUUCGAUAGAGGAGUGAAAAUAGUCUGUAAUGAAUGCUGUGAGAACUAUAAUGUAAAUUUUAGUAAAAUUGCCUGUAAUACCAGUUCCAGAUGCUUGUUUUUAACAUAGUAGUUCCUUAAAAAAAAAAACAACCCACCACCCAUUUCUUUCCAUUAGCACCUGUGCUAGAGUUUGACUAUCUCAUCUGUGGAGACUGUGGCAAAGAAUUCAUGGAUUCCUACCUUAUGCAGCACUUUGAUUGGGCAACAUGUGAUAAUUGCAGAGAUGCUGAAGAUAAACAUAAGCUUAUAACAAGGACAGAAGCAAAAGAAGAGUAUCUUCUUAAGGACUGUGACUUAGACAAGAGGGAACCAGUGCUCAGAUUCAUUGUGAAGAAAAACCCUCAUAAUUCACGAUGGGGUGACAUGAAACUUUAUUUAAAACUACAGGGGAAAAAGAAACACAUUUAUGUCCAUCCUGUAGGUAAUCAAGCGUUCUCUGGAAGUCUGGGGUAGUGAAGAAUCAUUGCAAGAAGCAAAGGAACUCCGUCGUGACAGCCGAGAGAAGAUGAAACAGAAGAAGUUUGAUAAGAAAGUUAAAGAACUCCGCCGUGCUGUGAGGAGUAGUUUGUGGAAGAAAGAAGCUAGUAUCCACGAACACGACUAUGGACCAGAAGAAAACAUUGAUGAAGACACAUAUAAAAAGACCUGUACUGUAUGUGGCCAUGAAUUAACUUAUGAGAAGAUGUAGUGUUAAACUGUUUUUUUUUUAAUUUCAUUUUUAAUGGUAUUUUGUAUUAAAGUUGAAUAAAUGCUGAUUAUGAACAACCUA